GACGUAGGGGGCCAGCGUUGUUCGGAAUUACUGGGUGUAAAGGGUUCGUAGGCGGUGCGGCAAGUUGGGAGUGAAAUCUCUGGGCUUAACCCAGAGGCUGCUUCCAAACCUGCUGUGCUUGAGUGUGGGAGAGGCGCGUGGAAUUGCAGGUGUAGCGGUGAAAUGCGUAGAUAUCUGCAGGAACACCCGUGGCGAAAGCGGCGCGCUGGACCACUACUGACGCUGAGGAACGAAAGCUAGGGGAGCAAACAGG
rnacentral:rRNA from 1 species